rnacentral:rRNA from 1 species
GCCCUUAGAGUUUGAUCCUGGCUCAGAUUGAACGCUGGCGGCAUGCCUUACACAUGCAAGUCGAACGGUAACAGGUCUUCGGAUGCUGACGAGUGGCGAACGGGUGAGUAAUACAUCGGAACGUGCCCGAUCGUGGGGGAUAACGAGGCGAAAGCUUUGCUAAUACCGCAUACGAUCUACGGAUGAAAGCGGGGGAUCUUCGGACCUCGCGCGGACGGAGCGGCCGAUGGCAGAUUAGGUAGUUGGUGGGAUAAAAGCUUACCAAGCCGACGAUCUGUAGCUGGUCUGAGAGGAUGAUCAGCCACACUGGGACUGAGACACGGCCCAGACUCCUACGGGAGGCAGCAGUGGGGAAUUUUGGACAAUGGGCGAAAGCCUGAUCCAGCCAUGCCGCGUGCAGGAUGAAGGCCUUCGGGUUGUAAACUGCUUUUGUACGGAACGAAAAGCCUCUUUCUAAUAAAGAGGGGUCAUGACGGUACCGUAAGAAUAAGCACCGGCUAACUACGUGCCAGCAGCCGCGGUAAUACGUAGGGUGCAAGCGUUAAUCGGAAUUACUGGGCGUAAAGCGUGCGCAGGCGGUUUUGUAAGACAGA